UACGGAGGGAGCAAGCGUUGUUCGGAUUUACUGGGCGUAAAGGGCGCGUAGGCGGCGUGACAAGUCACUUGUGAAAUCUCCGGGCUUAACUCGGAACGGUCAAGUGAUACUGUCGUGCUAGAGUACAGAAGGGGCAACUGGAAUUCUCGGUGUAGCGGUGAAAUGCGUAGAUAUCGAGAGGAACACCUGCGGCGAAGGCGGGUUGCUGGGCUGAUACUGACGCUGAGGCGCGAAAGCUAGGGGAGCGAACGGG
rnacentral:rRNA from 1 species